rnacentral:rRNA from 11 species
UGACUGCAGACCAGAUUACCCGCUGAGUUUAAGCAUAUACCUAAGCGGAGGAGAGAAAACAAACCUGGAUUUCCUCAGUAAUGGCGAAUGAAGAGGAAAAAGCACAGUUUGUGAAGCCUUUGGGCUUUGUAGCUUUGAUGAAGUGUGCCAGUGACGUUUGCAGUUCAACUCUUUUGGGACAAAGGGUCAUGGAGGGUGAGAAUCCCGUUCGUAACUGCGAGAUGUCGCGUACGGUUCGCUUUGUUCGAGUCGCGUUCCUUAGGACUGGAGCGCAAAGAGGGUGGUAAAUUUCAUCUAAUGCUCAAUACCGGUGGGAAACCGAUAGCACACAAGUACUGUGAAGGAAAGAUGAAAAGAACUUUGGAAAGAGAGUUAGAAGGGCCUGAAACCGCCGAGAGGGAAGCAGGUGUAUUUCGUGUGCAGUUGGAAGUGAGUGUGG